rnacentral:rRNA from 1 species
AGAGUUUGAUCCUGGCUCAGGAUGAACGCUAGCGGCAGGCCUAAUACAUGCAAGUCGAGGGGUAGGGGAAGCUUGCUUCCCCGAGACCGGCGCACGGGUGCGUAACGCGUAUGCAACCUACCUUGAUCAGGGGGAUAGCCCGGAGAAAUCCGGAUUAAUACCGCAUUAAGACACAGCCUCGCAUGAGGCAAUGUCCAAACAUUUAUGGGAUCAAGAUGGGCAUGCGUGCCAUUAGCUAGUUGGCGGGGUAACGGCCCACCAAGGCGACGAUGGCUAGGGGAUCUGAGAGGAUGGCCCCCCACACUGGUACUGAGACACGGACCAGACUCCUACGGGAGGCAGCAGUAAGGAAUAUUGGUCAAUGGGCGCAAGCCUGAACCAGCCAUGCCGCGUGCAGGAAGACGGCCCUCCGGGUUGUAAACUGCUUUUAUACCGGAAUAAACCCCGCUACGUGUAGCGGGCUGAAUGUACGGUAGGAAUAAGGAUCGGCUAACUCCGUGCCAGCAGCCGCGGUAAUACGGAGGAUCCAAGCGUUAUCCGGAUUUAUUGGGUUUAAAGGGUGCGUAGGCGGCCUGUUAAGUCAGGGGUGAAAGACGGUGGCUCAACCAUCGCAGUGCCCUUGAUACUGACGGGCUUGAAUUAACUAGAGGCAGGCGGAAUGUGACAAGUAGCGGUGAAAUGCAUAGAUAUGUCACAGAACACCGAUUGCGAAGGCAGCUUGCUAUGGUUAUAUUACGCUGAGGCACGAAAGCGUGGGGAUCAAACAGGAUUAGAUACCCUGGUAGUCCACGCCCUAAACGAUGAACACUCGCUGUUGGCGAUAUACAGUCAGCGGCUAAGCGAAAGCGUUAAGUGUUCCACCUGGGGAGUACGCCCGCAAGGGUGAAACUCAAAGGAAUUGACGGGGGCCCGCACAAGCGGAGGAGCAUGUGGUUUAAUUCGAUGAUACGCGAGGAACCUUACCCGGGCUUGAAAGUUAGUGAAUGAUCCAGAGAUGGGUCAGUGAGCAAUCACACGAAACUAGGUGCUGCAUGGCUGUCGUCAGCUCGUGCCGUGAGGUGUUGGGUUAAGUCCCGCAACGAGCGCAACCCCUAUGUCUAGUUGCCAGCAUGUAAUGGUGGGGACUCUAGACAGACUGCCUGUGCAAACAGAGAGGAAGGAGGGGACGACGUCAAGUCAUCAUAGCCCUUACGUCCGGGGCUACACACGUGCUACAAUGGACGGUACAGAGGGCAGCUAUCCAGCAAUGGAAUGCCAAUCUCAAAAAGCCGUUCACAGUUCGGAUAGAGGUCUGCAACUCGACCUCUUGAAGUUGGAUUCGCUAGUAAUCGCGUAUCAGCAAUGACGCGGUGAAUACGUUCCCGGGCCUUGUACACACCGCCCGUCAAGCCAUGGAAGCUGGGGGUACCUAAAGUACGUAGCCGCAAGGAGCGUCCUAGGGUAAAACCGGUAACUGGGGCUAAGUCGUAACAAGGUA